rnacentral:rRNA from 1 species
CCUACGGGAGUCAGCAGUGGGGAAUAUUGCACAAUGGGGGAAACCCUGAUGCAGCGACGCCGCGUGCGUGAAGAAGUAUUUCGGUACGUAAAGCUCUAUCAGCAGGGAAGAAAAUGACGGUACCUGACUAAGAAGCCCCGGCUAACUACGUGCCAGCAGCCGCGGUAAUACGUAGGGGGCAAGCGUUAUCCGGAUUUACUGGGUGUAAAGGGGGCGUAGACGGCAGCGCAAGUCUGGAGUGAAAUCCCAGGGCUUAACCAUGGAACUGCUGUGGAAACUGUGCGGCUAGAGUGCAGGGGAGGUAGGCGGAAUUCGUGGUGUAGCGGUGAAAUGCGUAGAUAGUAGGAGGAACGCCAGUGGCGAAGGCGGCUUACUGGACUGGAACUGACGUUGAGGCUCGAAAGCGUGGGGAGCAAACAGGAUUAGAUACCCUGGUAGUC